AUGCGACCCCGCCUCGUCGACGUCCACCACCGCCUCCCGCACCCGCUGCCUCACACGGCAGGUAACUCAUGCCACGUUCUCGUCGGACCAGGCUAUGGUGCGCUCCGAUGCUCAGCGCGCCAACGAAGGGCUUGCGCAUCGGCCACCGUGUUCGGACGCCACACGGACCGCACCGCGUCCGGCGAGGCAGCGACGACACACCUAGCGUUGGAUGCGUGUGUCAUUGGGCGAACGGAAUGGAUUACCGACGGAAGGAUUCUGAGCGUUGCCGGGCACGGGCCUCCUCCCAGGAGUAGCGGAGCGCAAGUCAGACGGCCAUCUCCUAGUCGAGGGCGCGUGGAUGAGCUCGCGGCUGAUGUAUGUGAGGUGAAGGACUCAGAUCCGUUGGGUACCAUGCCGGAGAGGGCCGAAAAUCGCCAGAGCUUGGCCAUCGACCGCCACUUGCAGCUCCUGCUCCGGCUAGCCCGACGACCCACCGCCCCCCUCCGCCCCUGGCAGCCCUGCGCAUGCACCUCGGCCCUCUGCUGCUCGCAGGCACCCACACGCCUCUGCCCUAGCCUCCUGGACGAACUCCGGCAGCCGUGCCCGGGAUCUCCAGGGAGCACCAAUCUGCUCAUCGCGGGCCACGCUGCCCGGAUCCACCUCCAACACUGCCGUGGACGUCGACCACCGCGCGCCGUCGAGGACCUUCGUCAUGUACUUCGUCGCCGAAGGCCGUCAUGUGAACGACUACACACCGGCCGCUGCCCCGCAAGACCGCCAUUGACAUGGAUCCCGACCAGUACGUGUUCCGGACAAAUGGUGGUGCACGUCCCCUGCAGCUUCGACUUGCCGCACGUGUUCGACACCGUACAUGUGCUCACACUUGGGGAGGCAUCGUGGCGGGAGGUUCCUGAGCACGACGGAUGGUGCAAGUGCGACCUGAGCGCCGGCAUCGUCAGCGUCGAUGGCACUACUUAUUGGGUCUUGAGCUAUGGCGCUAUAGCACUGGUCUUGGCGUUUGAUCUCGAGCAUGAGCGUGUCACCUUCCUCAAGGAGCUACCGGCGCAUAUAGCUAACUACCACCUAACUGAGGUGCAUGGGAGGUUGGGCCUCGUGACCCGUGACCUUUCGAUGUGGAUUCUUGAUAAGGGCCGGAAGUGGACGUGCCGGUACAGUCUCAGGCGGCAGGACCUUCCGGGGCCACGGUUCGUGUGUGGCGAAUACAUCUUGACAAGGAAGAAGGGAUGGAUAUGCGGGCACUAUAGACGGAAAGACAUGUGGUCAUCAAACAAGGCGGUGCCGGUGCGGGUCAGCCACAGGGCUCAGGGGCCGCGGCUCGCCAAGAUAAAGGGCGACUGCAAAAGGGCAUCAGCAGCACAACCCCAAAUUCCCAAAUCUAGCUUGACCGCCAGCCGCCUCUGGGACCAAUCCGCUCGCUUAUCGUCCGCCGACCGUGGCGGAGGUCCAGAUCCGGUGCCUAGCUGGGUGAGUACGGCCAGUGGAGGUGCCGUUCCAGCUCUUGGUCGUCUCGACGCGGUCGGUGCUGCCCCGGCGGGUCUCGCCCUGUUCCAAUCCGCACUUGAGGGUACUCUGCUCCGGCAUUCAGAGUUGCCCCCUACUCAUGUGCGGCUAGCUCGGCCACCCACCGACGCCAGAGAAGAAAACUCGGGUCUUAAGAUUAAUUCCUUCUCUCAAGAGGGUUCUUUGUACAAACCCCAGUGUGACGAGGAACUGAAGCCCAAAGUAGGGAUGAUAUUUGAUGACAUUGGCUCGGUACUAGAAUUUUACAGGACAUAUGCUCACAAUGUCGGAUUCGGUGUACGUCCCGGACAACAAAGGGUCGUCGAUAAUGUGCUUCAGUGGAAGAGCUCUUUUCAGUAA
rnacentral:rRNA from 1 species